UACAGAGGUUGCAAACGUUGUUCGGAAUCACUGGGCAUAAAGCGCACGUAGGCGGUCUGUUAAGUCAGGUGUGAAAGCCCCCGGCUCAACCGGGGAACAGCAUUUGAUACUGGCAGACUCGAGGAUGGUAGGGGUGAGUGGAACUCCAGGUGGAGCGGUGAAAUGCGUAGAUAUCUGGAGGAACACCGGUGGCGAAAGCGGCUCACUGGACCAUAACUGACGCUGAGGUGCGAAAGCGUGGGGAGCAAACAGG
rnacentral:rRNA from 1 species